rnacentral:rRNA from 1 species
CAGCCGCCGCGGGAAUACGUAGGGUGCGAGCGUUGUCCGGAAUUACUGGGCGUAAAGGGCUCGUAGGUGGUUUGUCGCGUCGUCUGUGAAAUUCUGGGGCUUAACUCCGGGCGUGCAGGCGAUACGGGCAUAACUUGAGUGCUGUAGGGGUAACUGGAAUUCCUGGUGUAGCGGUGAAAUGCGCAGAUAUCAGGAGGAACACCGAUGGCGAAGGCAGGUUACUGGGCAGUUACUGACGCUGAGGAGCGAAAGCAUGGGUAGCGAACAGGAUUAGAUACCCCCGUAGUCCCUGUCUCUUAUA